GUUGAACGCUGGCGGCAGGCCUAAUACAUGCAAGUCGAACGAGUGGGGGACGGGUGAGUCAUGUCGGGGAAACUGCCAGAUGGAGGGGGAAAACUCCGGGAAACGGUAGUAAAUACCGCAUACCAUCGGAUGUGCCCUGGUGGGAUUAGCUAGUAGGUGGGUUAAAGGCUCACCAAGGCGACGAUCCCUAGCCGGUCUGAGAGGAUGACCAGCCACACUGGAACUGAGACACGGUCCAGACUCCUACGGGAGGCAGCAGUGGGGAAUCUUGCGCAAUGGGCGAAAGCCUGAGGCAGCCAUGCCGCGUGUAUGAUGAAGGCCUUCGGGUUGUAAAGUACUGUCAGUGGGGAAGCGUUACCCGAUGAAGAAGCACCGGCUAACUCCGUGCCAGCAGCCGCGGUAAUAC
rnacentral:rRNA from 1 species